CCUACGGGAGGCUGCAGUGAGGAAUAUUGGUCAAUGGACGAGAGUCUGAACCAGCCAAGUAGCGUGAAGGAUGACUGCCCUCUGGGUUGUAAACUUCUUUUAUAUGGGAAUAAAAUGUUCCACGUGUGGGAUUUUGUAUGUACCCUAUGAAUAAGGAUCGGCUAACUCCGUGCCAGCAGCCGCGGUAAUACGGAGGAUCCGAGCGUUAUCCGGAUUUAUUGGGUUUAAAGGGAGCGUAGGUGGCGUGUUAAGUCAGUUGUGAAAGUUUGCGGCUCAACCGUAAAAUUGCAGUUGAAACUGGCAGUCUUGAGUACAGUAGAGGUGGGCGGAAUUCGUGGUGUAGCGGUGAAAUGCUUAGAUAUCACGAAGAACUCCGAUUGCGAAGGCAGUUCACUGGACUGCAACUGACACUGAGGCUCGAAAGUGUGGGUAUCAAACAGGAUUAGAUACCCUUGUAGUC
rnacentral:rRNA from 1 species